rnacentral:rRNA from 1 species
GGUGAACGCUGGCGGUAGGCCUAACACAUGCAAGUCGAACGGCAGCACAGUAAGAGCUUGCUCUUACGGGUGGCGAGUGGCGGACGGGUGUGGAAUACAUCGGAAUCUACUUUUUCGUGGGGGAUAACGUAGGGAAACUUACGCUAAUACCGCAUACGACCUACGGGUGAAAGCAGGGGAUCUUCGGACCUUGCGCGAUUGAAUGAGCCGAUGUCGGAUUAGCUAGUUGGCGGGGUAAAGGCCCACCAAGGCGACGAUCCGUAGCUGGUCUGAGAGGAUGAUCAGCCACACUGGAACUGAGACACGGUCCAGACUCCUACGGGAGGCAGCAGUGGGGAAUAUUGGACAAUGGGCGCAAGCCUGAUCCAGCCAUACCGCGUGGGUGAAGAAGGCCUUCGGGUUGUAAAGCCCUUUUGUUGGGAAAGAAAAGCAGCAGGUUAAUACCCCGCUGUUCUGACGGUACCCAAAGAAUAAGCACCGGCUAACUUCGUG